UCAUUUCUCUUGGCUGGCCAAAGGAAGAAAAGGGAAGAAAAGAAGAAGAACAAAAACCUAGCUAAGAAAUUCAAGAGAAAUUCAUAAAAUUUCAAAGAAUCAAGUGACAAAAGGUAAAAUUUCUUGAUUUUGACUUAUGAUCUACAUUUCCCAUGCAUUCUUUUGCAUUUUCCAUGGUUGAAUCACAUGGUUUCAUGAUGGGUCUCUUGCUGGCUGGACAUGAGGGAAGGAGUUUUGAUGCUUGAUUUGGUUAGAUUUUAAGAUAUGUUAGUGUUUUUAGUUAGUUAAUGAUGUGUAGCAUGAAAAACCAACAAGAAAAAUUCAUUUUCUCCCAUCACCCAUCAUUGGCCAAAUUUUCCAUGUGGAAUAUUGAUGAUGAUUUUGAUUUUUAUUUCAAGUGAAUUGAUGAGGAAAUGAUGAAUUAUGGUGAGAAAAUCGAGUAGGAAAAAUCAUAGUGUUGAUGCACCUACCAUGGCCGAAAUUUUCAAGAGAAAAUGUGAAGAUAAUUUUGCUAAAUUUUAUGCUAUUUGACUUGUGUUUGAUGGUUUGGAGAAUUGGAAGAAAAAUAGAGUUAAUUGGAGUUGAAUUGGACAUAUUGGCCAAUUAAUCGGGUGAUAGAUCGAAUUGGGCCAAUAUCGUUUUAUUUAGGUACACAAUUGAAUUUGUGUAGAACAUCGCGUUUAGACAAUAAUCUGAAUAAUUUGCAUUCCAUUUCAUGCAUCCAUAUAGUUUUAUAACGGUUUAGCACCAAUGUGGUAAAUUGCUUGAUUUUGCAUCAUGUCUAGGUGGUGAAUCCUCCACUAAGGGCGAAGAAAUUGUACUUGAGGAUCGGUUGUUAGAGUACUCUAGAAAUUCGACUCCCGAAAUAGUGAGUAACCUUAUCAUCAUUUUAAUUAUCUAAAGUGGUCUUUUUAUUCGAUUUUGUGAAUUUUAUGGAAAAUGAGUUUAAAUGGUAAAUCUUUAUGUUUUAUAAACAAAAUGUGUUUAAAUGAAAAGAUUUUAUAAAUUGUCUUGAAAUUGAAUGAUGGCUUUGAAAAUAUAGUAACUGGAGACCAUUUGAUGUGUUGUAAAUUUAUGGUUCUAAUUGAUGGCUUAUGAUAAUGUGUUGGCAUGACUGGCUGGAAUUGUGGUUUGUGAACUGUAUGAAUUAUUCUGUUUUACAUUUACAGGCUAGGUAGUAUAAUAUUAGUCGUCAUGCUGUCAAAAAUUUUAUUAUAUGGUGGGUUUAGCUUGCUGCUGUGGGCGGGUUAUGUGGACCAGCCUAUUAGAGAGGCACGGAAUCUAGUUAUAUAUGUACCUCGGUCGGAGAGGUGCGUAGGGUAUCUCCUGAGGUAUGGUUAGAGUUCACGUCACGCCGAACCACCUCGUGAUGAUGAACUUUGCUAACGCCAAGGAACGACUGUGUUUUUCAAACUAAAAAUAUAUUUAUGUGUAUACGAAAUUUUUAACAGCCUUGGCGGACUUGGUUAAAUGCCUUGGCCAAGGUAUUCUCGAGAAUAAUUUUGGCAGGAGCCAAGCCUUUAAGAUACUCAUAAGCCAUGUUGACUAUUUAAAUGAAAUGAAUGUUUAUGUUAUGAAAUACAUAUUUAGAUGGAAUAUUUUAAUCAUCUCAUUUUACUCGACUUUAGAUAUUUUGAAUGAUGUUUGUUUACUCACUGGGAUUAUAUAAUCUCACCACCCUCAUUUCCACCCAUUUCAGGCUCAGAAUAGGCUGUAGAUAGCUGGUUUCAUCGAGGCUACCAUUGGAUUUGCAUAUUCCAAACUGUAGG
rnacentral:lncRNA from 1 species